rnacentral:lncRNA from 1 species
CUUAGAUGACUAAAAAAACCUUGCAAGCGCUGAGUGGCCCUGAUCCUCCUUCAACCCUCGCUGCCCUUAAGGGGAACCCCCCGACACACACACCCAAGAGGGAAAUUCAGCAGCCUGCCAGAACAGGAAAAGGUGGCCUGGGCAGCGGUCCCGCGCCGCACACACCCCUCGCUCAGGCCUGCCUCGCCCGCCGUGCCUCGAACGAGCUAAGGCGCUCCGGUACCCGCCUCCCCCGGGGAUCCGCCGCGCCCCACGGGCUGAAAGGGAUUCCCCCCCAACAACGGGGCGUGGAGGGCGGCGAGCCCGCGUGGACGGACGCUCCAGGCCCGGAAGGGCGGGCGGGCGGUGCGGCUGGCACACACGGACGCGGUUCUCCCAGGCCCCGCAGUGCGCCAGGCUCCAGCUCAGCCGAGGACCAAACGCGGCGGGGGACCGCGGGGGCGCGGCGCGGCCUCCGCCGGUGCACGAGGGCCCGCAGCGUGCUCCGCGCAGCAGCCCGGCAGACGCAGGCGCCGCGCGGCCGUCCGCAUUGUUCAGCCUGCCGCGCGCGCCCCGGAGGAGCCUGGUCCUGUGGCCUCGAGCCCCGCAGGCGCGGAGGGAACGGUCGCCCCGCCGCCGCUACCGCUACCGCUGCCACUGCCGCCGCCGCCGCCGCUGCGGCGCCCGUGCAGGUGGCGAGCGGCGCCCUCACCUUUGGCGCCGAGCUUGAAGUCGAGCGUGCUGUGUCUUGCUGCUGCCAUAGUGUGGCGAGGCCCUGUGCCAUGCCUGGGGAGGCGACCGCAGGAGACUGAGGGACCGCGCGGCGUGUCAGGCUGCGGGCCGGCGGGGAGUGCGCUGCGCCGGGGGAGGCCAGGAGUUAGGAGGUGGGAGGGGCCGCGGGCAAGCGACCCGGGGCGCGGGGGCGGGGCCGACCCGCCUCUUAGAGGAGGAAGCAGGGACGCCUCCAGCCCCGAACUUGAAGCGCUGGGUGUGAGGCCUCGCUAAUGGUGGAAUCGCGGGCGCCGGGCUCCCUGGCAUGCGUCACCAAUGGCCGCGCCCUGCGCUAAAGCUCUGGCCAUGCUCUCCCGCCAUUCGCCAUCCGUUAGGAGGUCACCCAGCUUUAAACGGCUCAGCGCG